rnacentral:lncRNA from 1 species
UAUGACUCCUAUACUCCUCUUUCUGCUCUCCGUGCACAGAUUCUUAUAGAAAUUGAAUGAGCAAAAUAUCUACGACACUCCCCACUGAUGAAGGCAUUGUUGAGGAACCGUGAUCGGAAGAAGUAUUGUCAGUUCCAUCGUGAUCACGAUCAUAAUACUGAAUAAUACAUCCAGCUUAGGGAUGAGAUAGAAGCCUUGAUUUGAUGAAGCUACCUCGAGAAAUACCGGAGAGAUCCACCGACUCAACCUCCUAC